rnacentral:misc_RNA from 1 species
GAUGAAGAACGUAGCGAAAUGCGAUAAUUAAUGUGAAUUGCACAAUUCCGUGAAUCAUCGAGUCUUUGAACGCACAUUGCGCCUCAUGGCAUUCCGUGAGGCAGGCCCAUCUCAGCGUUAGAAAAUAUUCUCAAAUUUUAGUUUUGUGCUAAAAUUUGGAUCAUGUCAAAGAAGCUAUUACUAUUAUUGUGAUCGCUCUUUGGAAAUUGAUAGGUCUUUGAGUUGCUACUCAUAGAACGUGAUGAAUCUUUCUUCGUUCUAUUGUAAUUCACUCUGGUAGUCCUAAAACUUGUAUGCCUGUGGCAUAUCUUGUAAUUUGACCUGAGAUUGGGUAGGGAUACCCGCUGAACUUAAGCAUAUCAAUAAGCGGAGGA